rnacentral:rRNA from 1 species
AUUGAACGCGGGCGGUAGGCGUAACACAUGCAAGUCGAACGAGAAGCGGACGGGCGAGUAAUGUCUGGGAAACUGCCGGGAGGGGGGGGAUAACUACUGGCAACGGUCUGUAAUACCACAUACCAUCAGAUGUGCCCAAAGGGGAUUAGCUUGUUGGUGGGGUAAUGGCGCACCAAGGCGACGAUCCCUAGCUGGUCUGAGAGGAUGACCAGCCACACUGGAACUGAGACACGGUCCAGACUCCUACGGGAGGCAGCAGUGGGGAAUAUUGCACAAUGGGCGCAAGCCUGAUUCAGCCAUGCCGUGUGUCUGAAGAAGGCCUUCGGGUUGUAAAGCAGUUUCAGUGAGGAGGCGUUACUGGCAGAAGAACAGCCGGCCAACUCCGUUCCAGCAGCCGCGGUAAUAC